rnacentral:lncRNA from 1 species
GAGAAACAAAACCCUAGGGAGACUAACAACCAAACCUAAAAACCCAAGGAUUGAAUUAAAACAGAAUCCGAAAUAACUAGGAAACAUAAAAAUCCCGAAAACUAAUAAAACGCUGAUUUGAGGUCCAAAUAAAACUCGGAUGGCCGAAAAAGCCCAUACGUCGUGGCAAAGCGGCAAGUCUUGUUCGUUGGGCCGUUCCGCUUCCAGAAAGGUAUAAUAAUAGUCAUUCGGACACCGAACGCCAAAUCUACAGCAAACCGGAUUUGGACCUGCAACGAUUGAUCUGUUCCUCGAUUUCUUCUGCCAUCCGUCCUACAUCAGUCUCCUCCACCUCCGAAGAACUCGACCCCGAGUUCUCAAUAGGAUAAAGAGCGUCAUCCGCAUGAUACUCAUAAAUAUCAGCCACAUUAAAGGUAUUUGAAAUGGACAUAGAAUCUGGAAGUGCAACAACAUAAGCAUUGUCAUUGAUCUUCCGUAGUACCUUGAAAGGACCAUACUUCUUGGGUUGCAGCUUAUUGUAGGUACCAACAGGAAACCUUUCCUUCCUCAAAAACACCAUAACGUCAUCACCUUCCUUGAACAACUUAAUCCUGUGAUGUUUAUUAGCUGCAGCCUUAUUCUUUGCAUUAGUGGCCUCCAAUUUAGCUCUAACUAACUCACGAAUUUCCUGCACUUCCUUGGCCAUAUUUUCAGCAGCAACGCUAACACCAUGACCCCUUGGCAGCUUGACUAAAUCCACCACAUGUUUUGGAACAGUAGUAUACACCAAUGAAAAAGGUGAUUUUCCAGUAGCACUAUGCACAACACUAUUGUAAGCAAACUCCACCUGUGGCAAAGCAUUAUCCCAACUCUUCGGUUUGUCUCCACACACACUCCUGACCAUAUUACCCAGGGUUCUAUUGGUAACCUUAGUUUGCCCAUCAGUUUGAGGAUGCGCAGUGCUACUCUUGUUCAAAGUUGUCCCAAACAUCCGCCACAAAGUGACCCAGAAAUGGCUAAGAAAUUUCGAAUCCCUGUCAGAAGUGAUAGAUCGUGGUACCCCAUGCAGACGCACAACCUCCCUGAAAAACAGCUUGGCUAUAUGGGUAGCAUACGAGGUCUUCUUACAAGCAAUGAAGUGCGUCAUCUUAGAAAACCUGUUAACAACCACAAAUACAGAAUCCACUCCCCUCUGUGUACGAGGCAAACCCUGCACAAAAUCCAUUGAAAGAUCCUGCCAAAUGUCUUCAGGAAUAGGUAAAGGGGUAUAAAGACCAGUAUUUUGAGACUGACCUUUAGAAACCUGACAAACAUAACACUUCCGGACAAUUGCCGUGGCAUCUCUCCUCAAAUGGGGCCAAAAGUACCGCUCCUCCAAGCUGGCAAUAGUUUUAUCUCGGCCCAAAUGCCCACUCAAAUCCCCACCAUGCAAGCAUCUCCCUCAAUGAAGAAACUGGAACACAAAGCUGAUUACCCUUGAACAAAUAACCAUCACUAAUGUAAUAGUCCGCAACUGUAUGGUUGCCACUGCAUUUGGCCUAAAUCUCCUUGAAGUCAACAUCCUCUUCAUACAGAUUAUUGAGCACGUCGAAACCCACUAUCUCCUGUGACAACGUCACCAUCAAGGAUGCUCUCCUACUCAAAGCGUCUGCCACCCUGUUCUGGGCACCAGAUUUAUGUUGAAUCACAAAACACAAAAGGGAACUUUUGCAGAUAACUCACCCACCGAGCAUGCAUGUUGCCUACAUUUUUCUGACUGUUAAGGAACUUCAAGGCUUGAUGGUCUGUAUACAAGAAAAAUUCCCUCUGAACAAGGUAACGUUCCCACUGUUUUAACGCCUGGAAGACCGCAUAGAACUCCUGGUCGUAAGUACUCCACUUCUGGUGAGCUUCGCUAAGCUUUUCAUUGAAGAAAGCUACUGGCCUCUUCUCUUUGGACAACACAGCACCAACCCCCACUCCACUAGCAUCGCACUCCACCUCAAAUAUCUAUCAAAGUUAGGCAGUGCCAGGACAGGUGCAGAGCAAAGCUUCUCCUUUAUCAGAGUAAAACUCUGUUCUUACUCCUCUCCCCAGUGAAACUUCCCUUUCUUCAAACAUUCAGUAAUGGUGCUAAAAUAUCGAAUAAAUCUUCUGUAGAACGUAGCCAAACCAUGAAAACUACGUACCACAGAAACUGUCUUUGGGGCUGGCCAGUCUCGUAUUUCAUGAAUCUUCUCCUCAUCCACCUGAAUUCCAUCCUCUCCUACCACAAAUUCCAGAAACAGAAGCUUGUUGGUACAGAAAGUACAUUUUUUCAAGUUAAUGUACAGCUUAUUCUCCUGCAGGACGCUCAAAACCUGUUGCAAAUGCUGCAAGUGAUCUUUUUUCGUUUUGCUAUACACCAGAAUAUCAUCAAAAUAGACCACCACAAAAACACAAAGAAAACGAUGAAGAACCUAUGUCAUAGUUCUCAUGAAGGUGCUAGGUGCAUUAGAUAAUCCGAAAGGCAUCACCAUCCACUCAAAAAGACCAUCCUUGCUCUUGAACGCCAUCUUCCACUCAUCCCCUGGUUUAAUUCGAAUCUGAUGGUAACCACUGCGAAGAUCUAUUUUUGAAAACACCAUAGAACCUGCCAACUCAUUAAGCAUAUCUUCCAAACGAGGAAUAGGAAACCGAUACUUGAUGGUUAUUUUGUUGAUGGCUCUACUGUCCACAGACAUCCGCCAUUGGUUGCCCUUCUUAGGAACAAGAAGGACUGGAACUGCACAAGGGCUCAUGCUCUCACGAAUAAACCCCUUCUUCAGCAAGUCCUCAAUCUGCUCCCUCAAGAUCUCAUUCUCUUUAGGACUCAUACGGUAAUGGGGAAGAUUUGGUAAACUGGCACCUGGAAUAAAAUCAAUCUGGUGUUGGAUGUCUCGCAUGGGUGGUAACUCAUUAGGUAGCUCAUCAGAAAUCAACUCCUCAACUCCCUUAAACAACUGUUGUACCUCUUCAGGGAUCUCUACAGGUUCUUUCUCUGCACUAAACAACCCCUUAAUCACCACAGGACAACACAACUCUGACUCCUUAAAGUCUUCCUCUAUCUCCCGCUCAUUCUUGGACAAGAUUAGAAAGUUCUCCCUCUUCUUUUCUGCAGGUUUGUCAAAGUUCACAACAGGAGCCAUAGCAAUCUUAAACUCACCCCACAUAAACAACAUCACAUUAUCCCGACCCCUGUAAGUAAUAUCAACAUCAUACUGCCAAGGAUGCCCAAACAGAAUAUGACAAGCAUCCAUGUCCAGAACAUCACAAACUACUUCAUCCCUAUAAUGCUUACCAAUCGAAACAGGCACUUUGCAGGUUCUGGUUACACGCACUUGAGGACCCUUCUUCACCCAACCCAAAGAAUAGGGCAUCACAUGGGCCUCUGUUGGUAACUUCAAAUACUCCACCAACUUUUUAGCAACAAAGUUUUCGCAACUCCCAUUAUCCACAAUCAGAUUACACAUAUUGUUGUUGACAGAGCAAUGCGAUCUGAAAAGGUUCCUACGUUGACCGUCCUCCUCCCUGGGAGACAACAGAAUUCUCUGCAAUACAAUGUUCACCUUUUCUGGAGAAUCUUCCACUGCAAAUUCAGCCCCUUCAUAGUCAUCGCCUCCUUCCUCCGUCUCGUCUUCCUCACAGGCCUCGACUAAAGCCUGAACUGUUUUAACCACCUUCGGAGGUGCAGUACACUCGUUGGAUCUAUGACCAGGCUGUAAACACUUAUAACAAGUUCCUGGAAAAGGCCUUGCAUAAGGGUUAAAAGGUUGCUGCACAGGUGCUGCCUAAGUCGCCCUGCUAGUACUGCCAAAACCAGAAACGCCACCCUCUUUGUUAACAGCACUAGAUGCCCUGGUGGUCAUUCCACCCGUAUUCUGCGACACCGUUUUCCCUUUAUCUCCCAUAGAACUCCCGACUUCAAUACUCCUCUGACUAGUGAAUCUUGGGAACUGAAAAGAAACCCUAGGGGACUUCUCCAUCAGCUCCGCCUUUAUCGCUAAACUUGCAGCCUCAGUCACAGACCACAUAGUUUGCAAGCCAAUCUUCUCUUGUAUGGAAGGUCUCAACCCACUGAUGUACCGAGAAACCUUCUGCCCUUCAGAUUCGCCUAAGUUAUUACGUUCAGAAAGACGCACAAACUCAACGGUAUACUCUGUUACAGUCUUCACCCCUUGAACACAAUCUAGGUACAUCAUGUAAAGAAUCUAUUCAUAGUCCUCCGACAGGAAUCGUUCUGUCAUCAAUUGUUUCAUCCUCCGCCAAUUCUUGACGGGUUUUUUCCUCUGCCUUAAUCUCGUCAAUGCCAAUUUAUCCCACCAAACUGCCGCAGUGCUCUUGAGACGAGCUUCCACCAACUUCACUUGCUUAUGUUCCGCGACAUUCAUAUGCUCCAUGAAUCUGUCCACUUCAAUUUGCCAAUCCAGAAAUUCCUCCACGUUCAUCAUCCCAUUAAAGAAAGGGAUAUCAACCUUCAUCCUGAAAUCCUUAUCAUCUUGCCCUAAUUGCUCAAGGUCAACAGCUUCAUCUUCCAAAUCAGACUCAGAGCUGUUAGCAAUUUUGGUUCCUCUUCCUCAUGGAACCCUAGGUUGAGGAAUAGCUCUGCCUUCUCCACGCUUCUUAUUGUUAUUAUCAGUCUUCAAUUCGUUCACCUGAUUUGUCAACGUAGCAAGGGCUGCGGUAAAAGUCGCAGUAACACAUUCUAGGAUACCUUCUAGGUCUGUUCUAGUAAUCGGUUCAUCACCCAUGAUCAAGGAUAAAAGAGACAGGAACGUCUGGCUUCAGAUACCACUUGACGCAGCAGGAGUAUGGAGGGCUAACCAGCGUUAAACCCUAAUAAGUGGAGAGCCUUCAAGCGAAGAACUCUAUAGGACCAAAACCUGGAGCGCGCCAGGGACUAAGAGAAAAUUCUUAAGUUUCUGAAUUAUAAUUGAAAAACUGAAUGUCAGCUACCCAUAAGGGUGCUUAUAUAUGAGAAACAAAACCCUAGGGCGACUAACAACCAAACCUAAAAGCCCAAGGAUUGAAUUAAAAUAGAAUCCGAAAUAACUAGGAAACAUAAAAAUUCUGAAAACUAAUAAAACGCUGAUUUGAGGUCCAAAACAAACUCGGAUGGCCAAAAAAGCCCAUAUGUCGUGGCAAAGCGAUGAGUCUUGAUCAUUGGGCCGUUCCGCUUCCAGAAAGGUAUAAUAAUAGUCAUUCGGACACCGAACGCCAAAUCUACAGUAAACCAGGUUUGGACCUGCAACUAUCGAUCUGUUCCUCGAUUUCUUCUGCCAUCCGUCCUACAUCAGAUUAUCAAAAAUAAAUAAAACAUUUGGAUGACUUAACGAUCACCAAAUUUUCUGAAAAUUUGUAGAAAUAAUCUACUCAUAUAGCCCAACAAACUGAACGGUGGAGAUUUGAUUUUGUGAUCGAAAAGUUCGUCAAAUGAUCUAUCCCUAAAAAUGAACAAAAAAGAGAUUCAUCAAUGGAAGGGCCCUGCAUACACAUAUGUAUAAUAGAAAAAUCAACUUGAGCUUCCCAAUGUUCUUGUCAUAAAAAAUAAAAAGAAAAAAAAUAGAGAUUUUAAUUGCCAGUAUUCAAGAGUCGAAGGCUCUUCCUCCAAAUGCCUAGGCGUCGUUGUCAAAAGUCAAAACACAUGACUCGUCCGACAACCUUGUCUUUGUGACGACAUCGUCGGACGAGCCAGAAUAUAUCAAAUGGUCUGUAACAGUUGGUUGCCCAUUCAAAGUGAAGGUGGAGUCUUGGCUUUGCUGCAUUGUUCGCAUAGAGGUUCAAUUGGUGGUCGGUUAUCCACCAGUUGAGCGAUGGUGUCGUUUUCUCUAAGGGGUACUCUUGUAUUGGGUAUCUCUUUACGUUCGGUUUGGCUUGGUCCUCAGCUCUUGUGUAUUUUGUUGUUAUUCAAUAAAAUUUCAGGGUAGGACGAUGAGUUAGUCUGCAUCCCGCUUACCUAAAAAAACAAAAUUAUAUAAAAUCAUUACCGAAGUAAUGGUAGCUAGACUGUGACCCCUUCACCAAAAAUGUAUUUCUUUCAACCAAUGGGCUUUUG